rnacentral:rRNA from 1 species
ACGGCUCAGUAACACGUGGAUAACUUGCCCUUGGGUCCGGGAUAACCCCUGAGAAAUUGGGGACAAUACCGGAUAGGGCAUCGAUUGCUGGAAUGCACGAUGUCCAAAAGCUGAGGCGCCCAAGGAUAGGUCUGCGGCCGAUUAGGUUGUUGUUGAUGUAAUGGAUCAACAAGCCUGCAAUCGGUACGGGUUGUGAGAGCAAGAGCCCGGAGAUGGGUUCUGAGAAAAGAACCCAGGUCCUACGGGACGCAUCAGGCGCGAAAACUUUACAAUGUGCGAAAGCACGAUAAGGGAACUCUGAGUGCCUCCUAUGGAGGCUGUUCAGGUGUCUAAAAAGCACUUGAAGUAAGGGCUGGGUAAGACCGGUGCCAGCCGCCGCGGUAACACCGGCAGCCCAAGUGGUAGCCACGAUUAUUGGGUCUAAAGCGUCCGUAGCCGGCCAGGUAAGUUCUUUGGGAAAUUUAACCGCUCAACGGUUAAGCUUUCAGGGAAUACUGCUUGGCUUGGGACCGGGAGAGGUCAGAGGUACUUCAAGGGUAGGGGUGAAAUCCGUUAAUCCUUGAGGGACCACCAGUAGCGAAGGCGUCUGACCAGACCGGGUCCGACGGUGAGGGACGAAGGCUAGGGUCGCGAACCGGAUUAGAUACCCGGGUAGUCCUAGCUGUAAACGAUGCGGGCCAGGUGUUGGCAUUACUGCGAGUGAUGUCAGUGCCGAAGGGAAGCCGUUAAGCCCGCCAUCUGGGGAGUACGGUCGCAAGGCUGAAACUUAAAGGAAUUGGCGGGGGAGCACCACAACGGGUGGAGCCUGC